UACGGGGGGGGGCAAGCGUUGUUCGGAAUUACUGGGCGUAAAGGGCUCGUAGGUGGCCAACUAAGUCGGACGUGAAAUCCCUCAGCUUAACUGGGGAACUGCGUCCGAUACUGGAUGGCUCGAGUUUGGGAGAGGGAUGCGGAAUUCCAGGUGUAGCGGUGAAAUGCGUAGAUAUCUGGAGGAACACCGGUGGCGAAGGCGGCCUGCUGGGCAGUUGCUGACACUGAGGCGCGACAGCGUGGGGAGCAAACAGG
rnacentral:rRNA from 1 species